rnacentral:ncRNA from 2 species
UAGAAAAUAGGGCAUGGUGUUCGCCCGAUGAAACUGCAUGAAUGCUGAUGACACCUAUCCGGAG